GCAGGAGCACUCACCAGAGCUCAUCCACCACCCGCACCAGCACAAAGAACGUAUUCUUGCUCACACGCUUCUUGAAUGUGUCAGCGAAGGGAGAGAACUUCUCAUACGUGGGGCAGAGCUUCUUGAUGAGCUCCUCGGGGGUGAUGAAGGUCCUGUAAGUGGUGAGAAAGGCCUCGCAGUACAGCACCAAGUCUAGAGGAGGAACAGUGCGUUAGUGAUGCAUGCCACCAGCAAGGGACAGAGCUGGGCCGCGUGCCCGGAGGGGACAGCUCGCUGCCUGUUUGAAACUUCGUGUACACAGAAUGAAUGACUCACACUCAUCAGCAGAGCUGGGAACCAACAUCUGGAGAAUUUCCACUUAUUGAGAAAGCCAGGAAAAAGCUUCAGAAGUCAGGUGGGACUCGGCUUCCACCUUUUCGACACUAAUGAAAGGAGGCAUGGUAUUUUCUAAAUGUAAGACACUACCCCAGACAAAAUGACCUGCCAGGCGUUAUCCUACUUUGGAGCUGAGGUCCAAGUUUGUGCCUCAUCGGAAAGCUGUUUAAAUGGACAGGGGCUGCCUCCUAGCUGGCUGGAGAAAGAGGCCCCAUGUUUCCAGAUAAGCAGCGCUGACGGAGGAAGGGGAGCAGCUUUGGCUCCUGCCCUGAAGCUGGGGGCAGCAGGUGUGGGGAGGGAAACUCACAGCGGUUUCUCCUUGGCCCCCAUCCAGCUCACUGUUCUGUUCAGGUUAGGCUUGCAUUCUAAUGGGGCCGCAGAAAUUCAUGACAGGGACUUUGCAUUAGUAAAGCAGAGCCACCCUGUCCAUGCAGUUCCCUCCAGCUGACCGCAUCUGGCAGGUCAGUAGAAUUUACCACGGAGAAAUGGGGGCGGCUGUUCAUUACUUUUGGACAACUCCUCAUGCUGCUCCUAUGGGUGCCAUGAGCCCUUUCAGGGACUGCCUACCUGCUAACAUGCUCAUGUUAGCUCAUUCUCAUCUGCUGGACACCAAACCCUUUUGAAGGGCUGGACUCAACUCCCAGGAGGAAACCCCGAGGGCAUGAGAGGCUGUGGGUGAGUUUGUGGGAGCCCUUCUAUUUUCCAAAUUGUGUUUAGUGUAAAUAUAAUUUAGGAAUUCCCAGACUCAUCCUGUCUAACAAAUGUUGGGGAAAUUUGCUGUAAAAACACAGGGGAAGGCUGUUUACAAAAAUGAAAUUGGUGGGUUAGAGUUUCAA